GAUGAAGAACGUAGCGAAAUGCGAUAAGUAAUGUGAAUUGCAGAAUUCAGUGAAUCAUCGAAUCUUUGAACGCACAUUGCGCCCGCCAGUAUUCUGGCGGGCAUGCCUGUUCGAGCGUCAUUACAACCCUCAGGCCCCCGGGCCUGGCGUUGGGGAUCGGCGGAGCCCCCCGUGGGCACACGCCGUCCCCCAAAUACAGUGGCGGACCCGCCGCAGCUUCCAUCGCGUAGUAGCUAACACCUCGCGACUGGAGAGCGGCGCGGCCACGCCGUAAAACACCCAACUCUUCUGAAGUUGACCUCGAAUCAGGUAGGAAUACCCGCUGAACUUAAGCAUAUCAAUAAGCGGAGGA
rnacentral:misc_RNA from 1 species